rnacentral:rRNA from 1 species
UGGGGAAUCUUGCGCAAUGCGCGAAAGCGUGACGCAGCAACGCCGCGUGGGGGAAGAAGGCUUUCGGGUUGUAAACCCCUUUCAGUUGGGACGAAGCCUCGUCCGUUAAUAGCGGCGCGAGGUGACGGUACCUUCACAAGAAGCCCCGGCUAACUACGUGCCAGCAGCCGCGGUAAUACGUAGGGUGCGAGCGUUAAUCGGAAUUACUGGGCGUAAAGUGUGCGCAGGUGGCCGCGCAAGUCGAGUGUGAAAUCCCCGGGCUUAACUUGGGAAUUGCGCUCGAAACUACGUGGCUCGAGUGUGGCAGAGGAAGGUGGAAUUCCACGUGUAGCGGUGAAAUGCGUUAGAGAUGUGGAGGAACACCGAUGGCGAAGGCAGCCUUCUGGCCAACACUGACGCUCAUGCACGAAAGCGUGGGGAGCAAACA